UAACUCUGCAGAGGAAAAGGCCUGUCACCACUCUGAGUACCCACCUUGAGGGUGGCCGAGGGGCCAGCGUCAGCCAGGAGCUUCCCUGUACCCCAUAGCUGACAGGUGAUGAGCGCUCCUCCCUGGGGCCCAACCUAGUCCAUCAGCCAGGCUGUCCCUGCUGCUCAGGCAGGGCCACUUCUCAGUGUCGAAGAGCCUGUGAACCAGCUGUUUGACAGCCUGCCUCCCCGGUGAGCUGGGCAGGCUUCCCCCCGCUCCCUGGACCCCCACAGUCUGGCCUGGGGCCCUCCACUGUUAUAGUUAACAGUCAACAAACGGACAUAUUCCCAGGAAGAAAGACUGACCAAAGCUUGGGAGGGAAGCUCUGCCUGUGUGACAGUCUUAGGAGUCUGGCUGUCAAAAAACAUAACUCUCCCGCCUACGGUCACACCUCCUGGGAACUGAUCCAUUCCACGACAGAGACCUGGCUUUUUGCCACCUGCUGGGCACUGUCAUUUGGAUGCCCAAGUCCACAGUGAGGAAUACAGAACAGUCGUUACAGCAGCAUCUUCCUCUCAUGCUCCCCCAGCACCCGAGCCAGAGCUCUCCCCACCAGUCACGGUGCCUGCCUCUCCCUCCCCUCCUCCUGCCCCCGGAGUGGGGGAGUCACUUUCAACGGUCCCUCCAGGUUACUCCCUCCUCCCUCCCCACAGCCACAGACUGAAGCAGUUUUGAAGCCCCAAACCUGGGAGUGUCCUCUACCCCGCCCUGACUGAUCUCAUUCCCUCCACCUGUGCUCUGUCCCUUAUAACAGCCUGGCCUCGUUCUCUCUGCCCUUCAGCCAGAAGCUCCUCGCCUUUCUCACACUCGGUCUCUGUGCCCCCAAGCCUGCCCUGCAGGAUUCCCUUACCCACCUCACCCUCCAUGUCAAGGCUCUAAGGUCACCUCCUCUGGGAAGCUUUGCUGACCACCUCCCCUGGGUCCUGAUAACCCACCCUGUGUUUCAUGACACUUGUCAGAAUGGGAUCUAAGUGGCUGUUGGCACGUCUGUUUUCCCCACGGACUGUGAGCUCCCAGAGAGGAGAGAUUCUGUCGAAUCCCUGGUUGUCUUUGUACCUCCCAGCACGUGCCCUACAGCAGGAACUCAGUAAAGAUGGGAGUGUUGGCCAGA